UACGUAGGGGGCGAGCGUUGUCCGGAGUUACUGGGCGUAAAGCGCUUGUAGGCGGUCCACCAAGUUUGGGGUGACAGUUGCCGACUUAAUCGGCAAAGUGCCUCAAAGACUGGCGGACUUGAGGGCCACAGAGGGACAUGGAACUCCAGGUGUAGUGGUGAAAUGCGUAGAUAUUGCUCGGAAGGCCAACGGCGAAGGCAGGUUACUGGUACGCAACUGACGCUGAGGCACGAAAGCGUGGGGAGCAAACAGG
rnacentral:rRNA from 1 species